rnacentral:tRNA from 1 species
GGUGGGUUGGCUCAGUGGUUAGAGCGUAAAGGUCUCGUAACCGAAAGGUCGUGGGAUCGAAUCCCGCUAGAGGCUG